UUAAAUUGAAGAGUUUGAUCAUGGCUCAGAUUGAACGCUGGCGGCAGGCCUAACACAUGCAAGUCGAACGGUAACAGGAAACAGCUUGCUGUUUCGCUGACGAGUGGCGGACGGGUGAGUAAUGUCUGGGAAACUGCCUGAUGGAGGGGGAUAACUACUGGAAACGGUAGCUAAUACCGCAUAACGUCGCAAGACCAAAGAGGGGGACCUUCGGGCCUCUUGCCA
rnacentral:rRNA from 1 species